CUUCCCGGAGAGGCUGGUCCAGGCCAGCGCCAGCGCUCUCCGCGGCCCUGCGAGUGCGAGUCCGGCCCGGGCCCACCGUGGGCCGCCGCUGCAGCCGCGGUUCUGAAGCCAAAGGUCGCAGCCCAAGUUCAGCGCCAGGGGGUGCGGGGCAAGGGGGCACCCCCGGACCCCGCGUGCGGUGCCCACCGCAGAACCUGAGCCGCCGGGAUGGAGCGGGAGAGUGGGGGUGGGCGAACCCCGCUUUCGGCUUUCCCACGCUCAAGCCUAAUGCAUUCAGUUUAUUUUUCUUGUAUAAAAACACGUGGUGGCCAACGCUGGAGCCUGGGUCCUCUGCAUGGAGACGCUCCCGUGGAGCUUGACUAGAAGGUUGAUGUGAAGUAACCACCGACCAAUUCCCUACCAUUUUUGAAAAUGCUGAUAUUAUAACUGUGAAGAAGAAACAGUCACCAUUUCCUCACCAUGUAAGCUGCUUUAUAACAGUAUUUCCCUGAAUCUCGUUCCAUGUUAUGAUGUGAGUGCAUCCGGUUCUGAGAAUGGUCAUUUUGGUGUGUGUGCAAUAAACUUA